UGCUUUGUGGUCCAGUGGUUAGGACUCUGCACUUCCAAUGCAGGAAGCUCCCGGUGCAA
rnacentral:tRNA from 1 species